GUUGGCGGCCAUAGCUGGAGGCUAGGACCCGUUCCCAUUUCGAACACGGAAGUGAAUCCUCCAGGCGAUCUAAGCGGUAGUGUGGUGCGAAAGCCCACGCGAAGCUUAGACCGCUGCCAACU
rnacentral:rRNA from 1 species